AGUGAACGCUGGCGGUAGGCCUAACACAUGCAAGUCGAACGGCAGCACAGGAGAGCUUGCUCUCUGGGUGGCGAGUGGCGGACGGGUGAGGAAUACAUCGGAAUCUACCUUUUCGUGGGGGAUAACGUAGGGAAACUUACGCUAAUACCGCAUACGACCUACGGGUGAAAGUGGGGGACCGCAAGGCCUCACGCGAUUAGAUGAGCCGAUGUCCGAUUAGCUAGUUGGCGGGGUAAUGGCCCACCAAGGCGACGAUCGGUAGCUGGUCUGAGAGGAUGAUCAGCCAUACUGGAACUGAGACACGGUCCAGACUCCUACGGGAGGCAGCAGUGGGGAAUAUUGGACAAUGGGCGCAAGCCUGAUCCAGCCAUACCGCGUGGGUGAAGAAGGCCUUCGGGUUGUAAAGCCCUUUUGUUGGGAAAGAAAUCCUGUCGAUUAAUACUCGGUGGGGAUGACGGUACCCAAAGAAUAAGCACCGGCUAACUUCGU
rnacentral:rRNA from 1 species